rnacentral:snRNA from 1 species
GUUCUUGCUUCGGCAGAACAUAUACUAAAAUUGGAACGAUACAGAG